UACAGAGGCCUCAAGCGUUAUCCGGAUUCAUUGGGCGUAAAGAGCAUGUAGGCGGAUAUGUUAGUCAGAUGUCAAAUCUUCGAGCUCAACUCGAAAACUGCAUUUGAAACGGCAUAUCUAGAGACAGUCAGAGACUGAUGGAACAUAUGGUGUAGCAGUGAAAUGCGUUGAUAUCAUAUGGAACACCAAAGGCGAAGGCAUUCAGUUGGGGCUGUUCUGACGCUGAGAUGCGAAAGCGUGGGUAGCGAAUGGG
rnacentral:rRNA from 1 species